rnacentral:rRNA from 1 species
UACGUAGGUGUCAAGCGUUGUCCGGAUUUAUUGGGCGUAAAGCGCGCGCAGGCGGUCCUUUAAGUCUGAUGUGAAAUCUUGCGGCUCAACCGCAAGCGGUCAUUGGAAACUGGGGGACUUGAGUACAGAAGAGGAAAGUGGAAUUCCACGUGUAGCGGUGAAAUGCGUAGAGAUGUGGAGGAACACCAGUGGCGAAGGCGACUUUCUGGUCUGUAACUGACGCUGAGGCGCGAAAGCGUGGGGAGCAAACAGG